rnacentral:rRNA from 1 species
AUUGAACGCUGGCGGCAGGCCUAACACAUGCAAGUCGAGCGGAUGAAGGGGGCUUGCUCCUGGAUUCAGCGGCGGACGGGUGAGUAAUGCCUAGGAAUCUGCCUGGUAGGGGGGGAUAACGUCCGGAAACGGGCGCUAAUACCGCAUACGUCCUGAGGGAGAAAGUGGGGGAUCUUCGGACCUCACGCUAUCAGAGGAGCCUAGGUCGGAUUAGCGAGUGGGUGGGGUAAAGGCGCACCAAGGCGACGAUCCGGAACUGGUCUGAGCGGAUGAUCAGUCACCCUGGACCUGAGACACGGUCCAGACUCCUACGGGAGGCAGCAGUGCGGAAUAUUGGACAAUGGGCGAAAGCCUGAUCCAGCCCUGCCGCGUGUGUGACGAAGUUCUUCGGAUUGUAAAGCACUUUAAGUUGGGAGGAAGGGCAGUAAGUUAAUCCCUUGCUGUUUUGUCGUUACCAACAGAAUAAGCACCGGCUAACUUCGUG